rnacentral:rRNA from 1 species
UACGUAGGGUGCAAGCGUUGUCCGGAAUUAUUGGGCGUAAAGAGCUCGUAGGCGGUCUGUUGCGUCGGCUGUGAAAACCCGGGGCUCAACCCUCGAAUGCCGGUGGAUACUGCCGGGCUAGAGUCCGGAAGAGGCGAGUGGAACUCCUGGUGUAGCGGUGGAAUGCGCAGAUAUCAGGAAGAACACCGACGGCGAAGGCAGCUCGCUGGGACGGUACUGACGCUGAGGCGCGAAAGCGUGGGGAGCGAACAGG